rnacentral:rRNA from 1 species
CAGUAGCCGCGGGAAUACAGAGGGUGCAAGCGUUAAUCGGAAUUACUGGGCGUAAAGCGCGCGUAGGUGGUUUGUUAAGUUGGAUGUGAAAGCCCCGGGCUCAACCUGGGAACUGCAUCCAAAACUGGCAAGCUAGAGUACGGUAGAGGGUGGUGGAAUUUCCUGUGUAGCGGUGAAAUGCGUAGAUAUAGGAAGGAACACCAGUGGCGAAGGCGACCACCUGGACUGAUACUGACACUGAGGUGCGAAAGCGUGGGGAGCAAACAGGAUUAGAUACCCCGGUAGUCCCUGUCUCUUAUAC